rnacentral:misc_RNA from 1 species
GAAAAAGCAGAGCUCCGAUAACUGAUUCUACAUUAGGAAAUGCCCGUAGAGGUAGAGAAUUGAGGUAAGGUACUUCAAUGGCGAUUGUGUCUUCUCUGCCAGGUCUCAACCUCUUCUCUUCACUCCCAUCAAACCCACCACGAAACGACCCUACAGCAUCUACCUCUCCUCCCCAACCACCCAUACCCAUUCCCAAAUACCCUCCUCCUCUCAAAAAAUCCAAAAAUCCUCGAACUGCGCCUUCC